UACGUAGGGUGCGAGCGUUGUCCGGAAUUAUUGGGCGUAAAGAGCUCGUAGGCGGUCUGUCGCGUCGGCUGUGAAAACCUGGGGCUCAACCCCAGGCCUGCAGUCGAUACGGGCAGACUAGAGUCCGGCAGGGGAGACUGGAAUUCCUGGUGUAGCGGUGAAAUGCGCAGAUAUCAGGAGGAACACCGGUGGCGAAGGCGGGUCUCUGGGCCGAUACUGACGCUGAGGAGCGAAAGCGUGGGGAGCGAACAGG
rnacentral:rRNA from 1 species